rnacentral:tRNA from 1 species
GAGGGUAUAGCUCAGUGGUAGAGCGCAUGCCUAGCAUGCACAAGGUCCUGGGUUCAAUCCCCUGUAUCUCCA